GACGAACGCUGGCGGCGUGCCUAAUACAUGCAAGUAGGACGCAGUUGCGCACGGGUGAGUAACGCGUAGGUAACUACCUCUUCGAGGGGGAUAACUAUUGGAAACGCUAGCUAAUACCGCAUACUAGUAGAUGGACCUGCGUUGUAUUAGCUAGUAGGUAGGGUAAUGGCCUACCUAGGCAACGAUACAUAGCCUACCUGUGAUGGUGAUCGGCCACACUGGGACUGAGACACGGGCCAGACGUCUACGGGAGGCAGCAGUAGGGAAGCGUCGGCAAUGGGGGGAACCCUGAACGAGCAACGCCGCGUGAGUUAAGAAGGUUUUCGGAUCGUAAAGCUCUGUUGUUAAGGAAGCGGUACUUAACCAGAAAGGGACGGCUAACUACGUGCCAGCCGCCGCGGUAAUUC
rnacentral:rRNA from 1 species